rnacentral:rRNA from 1 species
AUUGAACGCUAGCGGGAUGCUUUACACAUGCAAGUCGAACGGAGUGGCGGACGGGUGAGUAAUAUAUCGGAACGUGCCCAGUAGCGGGGGAUAACUACUCGAAAGAGUGGCAAAUACCGCAUACUAUUGGAGCGGACGCUAUGAGAUUAGCUAGUUGGUGGGGUAAAGCCUCACCAAGGCAACGAUCCGUAGCUGGUUUGAGAGGAUGAACAGCAAGACUGGGACUUAGUGACGGCCGAGACUCCGACGGGAGGAAGCAUUGGGGAACUUUGGACAAUGGGGGAAAGCCUGAUCCAGCCAUCCCGCGUGUAUGAUGAAGGCCUUCGGGUGGUAAAGUACUUUUGGCAGAGAAGCGGUAUCUGCAGAAUAAGCACCGGCUAACUACGUGCCAGCCGCCGCGGUAAUUC